GAAGUUUCAUGUCAUUCACCUGACGUUGAGGGUGCACAUUCCGACAACAAAGGAAAUGCAAUGACAAUGUACAAAGUGAAGCAAAAGGCUCGAGUGCAUCAGGUGUUGCACUAGUGUACAGAAACUAGUUGACCAAGUAUUCGGUUAUCAAAUUUGGGAAUACAUGCAGAGGAAGCAACACUGACUUAUAAGUUUAUGUUUCAUUUUCAAGUUGGUUAUUGAAGAAGGAAUUAGAAGAACAGACGUCUAAGUCUUAUACCAUAAACAGCUUUAGAUCAAAAGUGGACCUAUCACCUGUGACUCAUCAGAAACGCCUUAGCCUCUCAUCUGACUGUCGGUACUUCAUCAAUGGUGUCUGGAUAACUAGCUUCAAUUACCGAACAAGAAAAUAAACUUCCGGCUUUUAGCUAUGAUGAUACUUAGAAACAGCUACAUGUUGGAAUCAAGAUAAGUGGCAUGAACAAAC
rnacentral:misc_RNA from 1 species